UACGGAAGGUCCGGGCGUUAUCCGGAUUUAUUGGGUUUAAAGGGAGCGCAGGCUGGAUUUUAAGCGUGCUGUGAAAUGUACCGGCUCAACCGGUGACGUGCAGCGCGAACUGGAGUCCUUGAGUGAGUACGAGGUAUGCGGAAUUCGUGGUGUAGCGGUGAAAUGCUUAGAUAUCACGAAGAACCCCGAUUGCGAAGGCAGCGUACCAGUCCUUAACUGACGCUAAAGCUCGAAAGUGCGGGUAUCGAAC
rnacentral:rRNA from 1 species